rnacentral:misc_RNA from 2 species
UUAAGUUCAGCGGGUAUCCCUACCUGAUCCGAGGUCAACCUGAAAAAAUUGGGGGUUAUUGGCAAGUAACCACCUGGAUCUCCAAAGCGAGAAGAAUUACUACGCUUGAAGCCAAAUGGCACCGCCACUGAUUUUAAGACCUGCCAGAAACUGGCAAUGUCCAAUACCAAGCAAAGCUUGAGGGUUGUAAUGACGCUCGA